rnacentral:lncRNA from 1 species
GUAGCAUCACCUGCAUUUUCCUUGGGGGGACUCCAGACGAGCGGCACCUCUGCUCGGGGACCUCUGCAGCGGGGGAAAGGAGUCCAGGUUAGGGCUAGGCUUAGGGUCAGGGGAGAGAGAAAGCGUCGAGCCCCGCGUGGAGUGGGGCUGCUAGGGGCAUGCCAAAGGAAAUGCCCAGCUGCACCAACACUGCUCCCAGCGCACCUGUUUUGUUCAGGCCAAGAACAGGCCUGGUGGGCUCAGGUUCAGGCCCCGCCUGAGAUUAGGGCUAGGCUUGGGGUUAGGAGAGAGAGAAAACAUCGAGCCCCCUGUGGAGUGGGGCUGCUAGGGGCAUGCCAGAGGGCUAGGGCUAGGGAGGAACAAAGAAAGAAUGAAAGGGAGAAAGAGGGAGAGAGGGAGGCAAGAGAAAGAGCUAGAGAGAGAGGAAAAGAGAGAAGGAGAUAAGAGAGAAGAGAGAAAGAAGAGAGAGGAAGAGAGAGACAGGAAGACUCCAGGCAAAUUCCAAGCUGCCAUCUAAUCGCUACCUGCACGGCUGCCUCUCUGGAAUAAUUUCAGGGAGGAAAAACCUCUGCAGCUCAGCAGCCGAGGAACCUGUUUCCUUUCCAAAGAGUCACUGCUAGAGAUCUGCUCCACGAAAGAGCCAUUCAUUUCCCAUCAUCAGGAGUCCCAUUACCAGCUGCCUUUUUCACCUCGGAGGAAUGGGAGCGGAAGCUGAGGGCCCACUGCCAUCUGUAGGGCAGGGGAGUUUCCACAGGCUCACGAGAGUAGCUCUUGCUGAAAUCUUGACUAAGCUAACUGGAGAACACUUUCCAGCUUUCCUUUUCCACUCCUGCAAAGCGCUGUGUCCCACUUCUCAAAGGACUCCAAAGAAGAUGAGAGGAGAGAGGAAAAACACCCUCGCACUUCCAGUUCUCCCUGUGUAAUCCCUAUCCAAGUGCCCAACCUGUUGGCAGAGGCAGUUUCGACAUCUCUGCGGUCUCAGUUGUAGAACAUGAAGAAAGGCCCUGUAAGAAAGCCUUAAUCAAAGCGAAGAUUUAAAGUGGAAAUAUGUAACGUUCCCAUCUUACCUAUGGAGAAGUUCCACCCCAUUGGCUGGGGGUGCACCUCUGUCUUGGCUGAAACAGAACAUGGGCUCUCUGGAUGAACGUUUCCACAGAUGAUUUCUUUAGAGCAGUUUUCAGUUAUUGCUCAGGACUUUCUCUUUUAACAUCUAGAAAAACAAAUAAAGCUAUUACUGUUGCAGCCA